UCCUUGGAGGACUAGUGGUUAGGCCACAGCGCUCUCACUGCUGUGGCGUGGGUUCAAUUCCUGGCUAGGGAA
rnacentral:tRNA from 1 species